GAUGAACGCUGGCGGCGUGCUUAACACAUGCAAGUCGAACGGAAAGGCCCUGCUUUUGUGGGGUGCUCGAGUGGCGAACGGGUGAGUAACACGUGAGUAACCUGCCCUUGACUUUGGGAUAACUUCAGGAAACUGGGGCUAAUACCGGAUAGGAGCUCCUGCUGCAUGGUGGGGGUUGGAAAGUUUCGGCGGUUGGGGAUGGACUCGCGGCUUAUCAGCUUGUUGGUGGGGUAGUGGCUUACCAAGGCUUUGACGGGUAGCCGGCCUGAGAGGGUGACCGGCCACAUUGGGACUGAGAUACGGCCCAGACUCCUACGGGAGGCAGCAGUGGGGAAUAUUGCACAAUGGGCGGAAGCCUGAUGCAGCAACGCCGCGUGCGGGAUGACGGCCUUCGGGUUGUAAACCGCUUUCGCCUGUGACGAAGCGUGAGUGACGGUAAUGGGUAAAGAAGCACCGGCUAACUACGUGCCAGCAGCCGCGGUGAUACGUAGGGUGCGAGCGUUGUCCGGAUUUAUUGGGCGUAAAGGGCUCGUAGGUGGUUGAUCGCGUCGGAAGUGUAAUCUUGGGGCUUAACCCUGAGCGUGCUUUCGAUACGGGUUGACUUGAGGAAGGUAGGGGAGAAUGGAAUUCCUGGUGGAGCGGUGGAAUGCGCAGAUAUCAGGAGGAACACCAGUGGCGAAGGCGGUUCUCUGGGCCUUUCCUGACGCUGAGGAGCGAAAGCGUGGGGAGCGAACAGGCUUAGAUACCCUGGUAGUCCACGCUGUAAACGGUGGGUACUAGGUGUGGGGUCCAUUCCACGGGUUCCGUGCCGUAGCUAACGCUUUAAGUACCCCGCCUGGGGAGUACGGCCGCAAGGCUAAAACUCAAAGGAAUUGACGGGGCCCCGCACAAGCGGCGGAGCAUGCGGAUUAAUUCGAUGCAACGCGUAGAACCUUACCUGGGUUUGACAUGGAUCGGGAGUGCUCAGAGAUGGGUGUGCCUCUUUUGGGGUCGGUUCACAGGUGGUGCAUGGCUGUCGUCAGCUCGUGUCGUGAGAUGCUGGGUUAAGUCCCGCAACGAGCGCAACCCUUGUUCACUGUUGCCAGCACGUUAUGGUGGGGACUCAGUGGAGACCGCCGGGGUCAACUCGGAGGAAGGUGGGGAUGACGUCAAGUCAUCAUGCCCCUUAUGUCCAGGGCUUCACGCAUGCUACAAUGGCUGGUACAGAGAGUGGCGAGCCUGUGAGGGUGAGCGAAUCUCGGAAAGCCGGUCUCAGUUCGGAUUGGGGUCUGCAACUCGACCUCAUGAAGUCGGAGUCGCUAGUAAUCGCAGAUCAGCAACGCUGCGGUGAAUACGUUCCCGGGGCU
rnacentral:rRNA from 1 species